UACGUAGGGCGCAAGCGUUGUCCGGAAUUAUUGGGCGUAAAGAGCUCGUAGGCGGCUUGUCACGUCGGGUGUGAAAGCCCGGGGCUUAACCCCGGGUCUGCAUUCGAUACGGGCAGGCUAGAGUGUGGUAGGGGAGAUCGGAAUUCCUGGUGUAGCGGUGAAAUGCGCAGAUAUCGGGAGGAACACCGGUGGCGAAGGCGGUUCUCUGGGCCUUACCUGACGCUGAGGAGCGAAAGCGUGGGGAGCGAACAGG
rnacentral:rRNA from 1 species